UCUUAGGAUUACUCUCUCUCUCUCUGUGUUUCAUUUUAUACUUGUUCUUAAACAAAAUGAACAAUAUGGAUAAGUCGAGUAUGAAUUAAAUGGUUGUGCCAGCUUGUCAUAGUACUAGAGUGACCAAAUUGUCAUGAUAUCUGAUUACCUGCCGAGAUUGUUAAGUGUUUCACAACACACUUUCUGUGUGCCACAAAAGAUGAGAUGACUAUGGAAAAGAUUGGUACUGUGACAUUCGGGUCCUGGAGAUGGAUAAUUGGAAAAUGAUCCACACAGCUCUUCUUCCGGCAUAUGGAUUUAUAGCAUGGCCACUGGGAUUUAGAGAAAAUGGUGGAGUUCAUAUGGUAAUGAUUAAUAUGGCUGGUGGAGAUUCAGCUAACUUAAAUUUUGUUUUAUGUGAAUCUGAGUUAGGAUACUGGAUGCAAAAUGAGUUCAUGUUUCCAUUACAUCAACGUUCACAGUGAGAGUCUAAUUUUACUGCAUUGAAUUCAGAGUUCUGUUUGGGUAGUAUCUGGCCAGAUUUUGUUGAACAGCUUGGUAACCUCUGUGGUUGAUGUUCUAUAGUUAGUCCAGUGUUGAAUUCAAACUGGCUUUCUAACUUAUAAAUUGAUACUCAUAAUACGAGUCUACUGCGAGUUUAGUAUGUUAUGUGUUUACACUAGGAAUAAGUAAUAACUGAUUAGAGUUUAAGUUCAGGAUUGAUAUUAAUGUUCUUAUCGAUCUGUCUUCUACAUUUUGCAAACCAGAAUAUAUACUACUCUGCAAUGUAUUUGCUUUUGUUUAUUUUGUUCAACUUGUGCACACUAUAUUGAAGUUCAAAAAUUAUUUCUGCUGACCAACACAUUGCUUAUUUCAGCCAGUAAGGCAAUCACCUUGUUAGACUUAAGAAUAUAGACAUCUUUCUAAUUAUAAAUUUAAAACCAGCACGCCUUUUUCCGAAGAAAAUGCCAGUUUCUUGGAGGAAAUAUAUAGCUUUUUCUCUUGAAAAGAGGGAACUUCAGUACAAGGGAGGAACCAAGAAUACAAAGGAGCAAGAGGUGAUGCUUCUUAAACUUCGUUGGGUCAUGCUUAAGAGAUUAACACCAACAGCUUCAGAUAUGUGGCAGUUGAGUUUGGAAAAUCCUUUCCAAGGUCUUCCAGUUGAUAUGCUUCACCAAUAUUACGGCCGACAUUCAGGUUAGAUUUACUGCUGCAAUUCACGGUUCCAAAAUGUUUACUUGGAACAAGUCGGAUAAGAUUAGGCCAAAUCCUUAUGUUUUCAUCUUAAGAUAUUUUCUAAAUUACAUCAUCCCUUAUGACUGAAGAUCUUGUUCCUCAGAGAAGAUGGCACCAAGUUUUUGGCUCUUUCAUUUGUUAAUGUUUUUGUAGUUAUGGGUUAUGGCUAAUGAAGGAAAAUGCUUCAAAGGCAUGUAAGGAUUUACGCUUUCCUUUAGACUUUAUUUGCCCCACAACAAGUGUGCAAAGGGGUUUGAUCAAAUAAUCCUUUAGGAUAGAAUGAAGCCCAGCAAUUAAUCCUACUAUUGUUGAUCGGCGUCUUGCACUUACGAAGAUCAACCCAACACUCGAUCAAAGGUUUUUAAGAGGCUCAAGGUUGUAGGAACUAUAUUUGCAGUUUUAUAGUUUCUAGAUUUUAUCUGUGUAAGAGAGAGGAAGAUUGAUUGAAUGGCUUGAAAGAAAGAA